GGAUGUGAGGGCGAUCUGGCUGCGGACAUCUGUCACCCCAUUGAUCACCAGGGUUGAUUAGGCUGAUCUGGCUGGCUAGGCGGGUGUCCCCUUCCUCCCUCGCCGCUCCACGUGCGCUAGGUGGAAGAGGACGGCCUUCCCCAAACAGAGACGGACCGGUCUUCAGUCGAGGGUAUACGAGUAGCUGCACUCCCCCUGCUAGAACCUCCAAACAAGCUCUGCUGUAGUGUUAAUGAUUAUAAUUAUAAUUUAGGUUAUGCAUUUAAAGAAGUGUUGACAUUU
rnacentral:snRNA from 1 species